rnacentral:lncRNA from 1 species
CCGAGAUCACACCACUGCACUCCAGCCUGGGCAACAGAGCGAUACUCCAUCUCAAAAAAAAGAAAGAAAAUAUUUGAAGUUUAUGUUAAUACUUCCUAAAUCCCAGGGGGCUGCUGUAUUAGUCUGUUUUCACACUGCUGAUAAAGACAUACCUGAGACUGGGCAAUUUACAAAAGAAAGAGGUUUAUUGGAAGGUGAAAGGCAUGUUUCACAUGGUGGCAGACAAGAG